UACGUAGGGCGCAAGCGUUGUCCGGAAUUAUUGGGCGUAAAGAGCUCGUAGGCGGCCUGUCGCGUCCGCUGUGAAAUCCCGGGGCUUAACCCCGGGCGUGCAGUGGAUACGGGCUGGCUAGAGGCAGGCAGGGGAGAACGGAAUUCCCGGUGUAGCGGUGAAAUGCGCAGAUAUCGGGAGGAACACCGGUGGCGAAGGCGGUCUCUGGGCCU
rnacentral:rRNA from 1 species